CUCGGCCCGGGGGGAGCGCCCCGGGCUGCGCCGCUCACGGGACUCGGGGCGGCAGCGCUGGCCGCCUCUCCUCGCCCGGAGCAGGGCGGGCGCCGGAGGAGGGCGCCGCCGCCGAGCGCUGCGGGCAGGUAAAGUCACCGGCCUCUCGCAGCCCGGACAGCGCGAGGGAAGAAGGCUGCGCGCCCGGUAGGCUCGCACCGACCCUCUCUUCAGCCGCCGGCCUUUGGUAACAUAAAGGGUAAACCACAUGCAAAUGGAACAAUAAACAAAGCAUCUUCUAUACCACAGGAACAUGUUUCAUUCCCCAUACAUGUUUUAAAUACUGAAGCCUUGAUGUGAACACUACAAUUCAGUGAUGGAGGACCAGUCCCUUUGAGACAAGAAAUUAGCUUUCUAGAUGUUGAUUCCGAGGCUAUGGUAUAGAAUGACAAAUUCACUUGAAGUCCUUUGGGAACUGUUUGUCAUGGUCUCAGCUGGUCUGCACAGAGGAUCGGAUUCUUGAGAAAGCAUCCAUGCAGCAGUCCUUGUGAAAGUAAAGACAAGGAAUAAUCCCAUCUAUUGGCAGACUCAUUACUGAGCACAGAGAAAAUAGUAUCUGAGAUUGAGAUCAGCCUUAUAGGAAAUGCAGUCAGUGCCCCCUGUCUCCCUGGAAGCCUGGCUGCAGCCUGAAUUAGGAGACUUCAGAAACCAGGUUGAUUCCUGGGUAGUAUUUGGUGCUGUGUUUUGUGUAAUGACAUUACACCCCUCCUGAGAAAGUGGAAAGCAUGAGGACAGUGGUUAGACCACUGCAUGUGAGGCGGGCAAAGUUAGGUAGUGGGUGUAGGACAAUUUUCUGGCAACAGAUAGUUCUUGAACCACCAGAAAAUGCUACCAGUUUGUGUAUCUGUGCAUCCCAAACUCACCUUGAAAGGCUGACACACACGGCCUACCUCAUCACCCCAGGAGACCUCUCUUCAGGUAUCUCUGUACCCAGGGAUCUGAUGUAUCUUUCAACUCAUACUUGAACCAGAUGUUGGCAAUUUUCAGAAUGCAGAUGCUAGAAUAGAUGAUAAAUCAGGCAUUUCCUACUCCAAAGAAGUUUAAAUGAAAAUAACAAUGGCCUUUACCCAUCUUUCUGGCAGCUUCCAGACAGCGGGUAAGCAUAAAUCAUGCUUCUAAACUCAGCUGUUGUAUACAUGAUAUACAUGAUAUGUAUACAUGUAUACAUGAGGUAUGGAAUUAGCACCCCAUUUAUAUUGUAUUACCCAAGUCCAUGAUUCCACUCCAUCUGCAGAUAUCAUGUGCAAUAAAAAUGUCAGAACAUACUUGGUUGGGAAUUUCUUGGUUUGAAGGGGAAAUUUCACUGACUGGAAAUACACUGGAUUGGUUUCUCACUACCCAGUGGAAUAUUAGUCUUCAAAGAACAAUCAUCUGUAGUUGCCAACUUGCUAUCCAAAGGAGUGUGUAUACUCAUCUUGUCAUCUCAUCAUGUGCCUCCUCCUCCUCCUGACACAUUGUAAAUUCUUAUUCCUGUGGCACAGUGAUGGCUUCCAGUAACCUUUCAAAAACAGAAAGCCAUCUUCCUUUGGAAUUAUUCCAUGAAAGCAGAAAAUUUAAUAUUCUUGUGCAUAACAUAUGUAAUAAAUGAACUAAAGUGGACACAAUGCACUCUAGGGUAUGGGGUAUUAGUGCCUUGACGAAUGCUAGUUCACACAGGAAUUUGGCAAAGGUAUGACUGGAGGUUCAUAUGAAAUCUGUAUCAAACUUGCACUA